ensembl:snoRNA LOC120093976 small nucleolar RNA SNORA48
CCCCCCUGACCAUGGGCAAAGAGACACCAUGUUGGUGGUGGUGUUCUUAUGUCAGAAAGGGGCAGAGCAGAUAUCCUGUUCAUCCUAGCUUGGUGCCUGGCUUGAUGCCCAAGGCUGUUUUUAUGGCUGAGAUCCAUGA